rnacentral:lncRNA from 1 species
CGGUGGCGAGGCUGAGCAUAUCAAACUGUACACAUGGACUGUGACUAAUGGUGUGCCAGUGUGGUGGUGACUGCCACACACUCACACAGGUUCUUGGUACUCUCUGUAACCUGUAGAUGAUGGGUGGCGAGUCCGGCAACCACAGAUCCAUUCCCCUGCAUAAUUUUCGUUUUUUCAUUUGAUUUGGUACAAGGCCUACUCAGAAUGGGUUCCCUGAUCUCAAAAUUGUCAGUUUUCUUGCCUUUAGUUUAUAGGUACCUUAACAAAUACAUGUAUUUACCAUAUUGGCAGUCAGCACCAUACGACAUUCAUUCUUCAUGAUCUCAUAUUUGAGGUUAGCAGUUCGAAGUAAUGUAAGAGCUUGCAUGUUUAUAGUUCUAACUAGCUUUUAGUUUAGCGUAGGAUAAGUCUUCCAUGAAUUCUUAGUUAGCUAUUUAUUUUUGCUGGCUUUGCAUGACACUGCAAUUUUUUCAUAUUUUUCUUCAAAAGUUAACUAUUUUCUUAUCUACAAUUAUCUCCUAGCGUUAGCAAGUCUGUCGUCCCUGACCACCCUGUCAGUCAUCUAUACAACUGUGGUUCAUGCCUGCGUGCUAUCCGCUCCUAAAUUCUCACACCAUGUCAGGUGUUUAGAAGUGAUGAUCAUUGUGGUCUUUAGUUGUCAUGGCUGUAAUCCUAGUGCAUGGGCUUUUGUGGGCUGGUCCAACCGGAGUUGGUUGAUGGCAGGGCUGUGCUCCAGGGACCGUAUGGCUGAAGAAGGGAUGCAAAUGGUAAGAGUUUUGAGAUGCAUAAACUCCCGUCUUUGAAUCAGAAACAGAAAAUUGUUUGUUUUCUCGUUUCUUAGUUAUGCUACCCUGCUCCACAUAGGUUUUACAGUGAAGAGCUGAAGAAGUUGUGACGGCGAUGAAAGGACUGAAAGAUUUGCUCGAAGCAAAGACAUCUAGCCGAGAUACAUAUGGUAAGAAUCUUCAGAGAUUGACUUCUUUUCACCUACUAUUGAGAUAUAUACUUGCUCAUAGGUCACAACUCAAGUUACUUCCUUACCUGCACAUAAAGUAGUGAUAAGUCGAUAUAAUUUUUCCGAGAACCUAUUUUUUUAAUAUGACAGCAUUCUACCUGCCCUCUGUUCUCUUUUAUGAUAUUUUUUGCUUUUCAUACAUUUUGUAGCAACGAAGAGGAGGGAUCUUAUGUAUAAUAUGCGACAUCCAUGGUGCUUAAG